UGACUGGGGUGAAGUCGUAACAAGGUAGCCGUAGGGGAACCUGCGGCUGGAUCACCUCCUUAAU
rnacentral:rRNA from 1 species